rnacentral:tRNA from 1 species
GCAACUAAAGCUUUUUUAAGAAGCAUUAAUCUUGUAAAUUAAAAGAAGAAAAAUUUUCUAGUUGCU